GAAAAACGCGAUCACGUGACCAAUGAGGCCGCGGGCGCGUUCUAAUUCUAGAAUCAGAACCUACGGACACACUUACAUGUAGGGGUGUGAAAGAGCGCGCGGCGAUAGAAAGUGCAGACUAAAGUUUUCAGUGAAGCCGAACGUUGCAGACGUUUUUCCAUAACUCACGUGCAGAAAUAUCUAAGCAUAAAAAGAGAGAGGAGAGAAAAGGGCUCCUGAGGAGAUCCAGGAUGGAAUGGAAUGAGCAGACUGUGCAGACAAGUACAGAGGACAGUGUAGCAAAGGAGAAGGAGGAAUGUAAGACAGCGGGAGACAUGGGAGAACCAAAGGAAGUGGAAGUCAGCUACGAGUUGGUGGAGGAGGAAGUGCAGUCGGGUUCAGAGGGAGAGCAGCAGCAGGUGCAGAGUGUGCAGACAAGUACAGAGGACAGUGUACCAAAGGAGGAAUGUAAGACAGCGGGAGAAAUGGGAGAACCAAAGGAAGUGGAAGUCAGCUACGAGUCGGUGGAGGAGGAAGUGCAGUCGGGUUCAGAGGGAGAGCAGGUGCAGAGUGUGCAGACAAGUACAGAGGACAGUGUACCGAAGGAGGAAUGUAAGACAGUGGGAGAAAUGGGAGAACCAAAGGAAGUGGAAGUCAGCUACGAGUCAGUGGAGGAGGAAGUGCAGUCGGGUUCAGAGGGAGAUCAGCAGCAGGUGCAGAGUGUGCAGACAAGUACAGAGGACAGUGUGCCAAAGGAGAGGGAGGAAUGUAAGACAGUGGGAGACAUGGGAGAACCAAAGGAAGUGGAAGUCAGCUACGAGUCGUUGAUGGAGGAAGUGCAGUCGGGUUCAGAGGGAGAGCAGGUGCAGAGUGUGCAGACAAGUACAGAGGACAGUGUUCCAAAGGAGAGGGAGGAAUGUAAGACAGUGGGGGACAUGGGAGAACCAAAGGAAGUGGAAGUCAGCUACGAGUCGUUGAUGGAGGAAGUGCAGUCGGGUUCAGUGGGAGAGCAGCAGCAGGUGCAGUGUGUGCAGACAAGUACAGAGGACAGUGUUCCAAAGGAGAGGGAGGAAUGUAAGACAGUGGGGGACAUGGGAGAACCAAAGGAAGUGGAAGUCAGCUACGAGUCGUUGAUGGAGGAAGUGCAGUCGGGUUCAGUGGGAGAGCAGCAGCAGGUGCAGAGUGUGCAGACAAGUACAGAGGACAGUGUACCAAAGGAGGAAUGUAAGACAGCGGGAGAAAUGGGAGAACCAAAGGAAGUGGAAGUCAGCUACGAGUCAUUGAUGGAGGACGUGCAGUCGGGUUCAGAGGGAGAGCAGGUGCAGAGUGUGCAGACAAGUACAGAGGACAGUGUACCAAAGGAGAUGGAGGAAUGUAAGACGGUGGGAGAAAUGGGAGAACCAAAGGAAGUGGAAAUCAGCUACGAGUCGGUGGAGGAGGAAGUGCAUUCGGGUUCAGAGGGAGAGCAGGUGCAGAGUGUGCAGACAAGUACAGAGGACAGUGUUCCAAAUGAGAAGGAGGAAUGUAAGACAGUGGGAGAAAUGGGAGAACCAAAGGAAGUGGAAAUCAGCUACGAGUCGGUGGAGGAGGAAGUGCAGUCGGGUUCAGAGGGAGAGCAGCAGCAGGUGCAGAGUGUGCAAACAAGUACAGAGGACAGUGUAACAAAGGAGAAGGAGGAAUGUAAGACAGUGGGAGAAAUGGGAGAACCAAAGGAAGUGGAAAUCAGCUACGAGUCGGUGGAGGAGGAAGUGCAGUCGGGUUCAGAGGGAGAGCAGCAGCAGGUGCAGAGUGUGCAAACAAGUACAGAGGACAGUGUAACAAAGGAGAAGGAGGAAUGUAAGACAGUGGGAGAAAUGGGAGAACCAAAGGAAGUGGAAGUCAGCUACGAGUCAUUGAUGGAGGACGUGCAGUCGGGUUCAGAGGGAGAGCAGGUGCAGAGUGUGCAGACAAGUACAGAGGACAGUGUACCGAAGGAGGAAUGUAAGACAGUGGGAGACAUGGGAGAACCAAAGGAAGUGGAAGUCAGCUACGAGUCAUUGAUGGAGGACGUGCAGUCGGGUUCAGAGGGAGAGCAGGUGCAGUGUGUGCAGACAAGUACAGAGGACAGCGUACCAAAGGAGAUGGAGGAAUGUAAGACAGUGAGGGACAUGGGAGAACCAAAGAAAGUGGAAAUCAGCUACGAGUCGGUGGAGGAGGAAGUGCAGUCGGGUUCAGUGGGAGAGCAGCAGCAGGUGCAGAGUGUGCAGACAAGUACAGAGGACAGUGUACCAAAGGAGAGGGAGGAAUGUAAGACAGUGGGAGAAAUGGGAGAACCAAAGGAAGUGGAAGUCAGCUAUGAGUCGUUGAUGGAGGAAGUGCAGUCGGGUUCAGAGGGAGAGCAGCAGCAGGUGCAGAGUGUGCAGACAAGUACAGAGGACAGUGUACCAAAGGAGAGGGAGGAAUGUGAAUCAGUGGGAGGCAUGGGAGAACCAAAGAAAGUGGAAGUGAGUCGGUGGUGGAGGUGGUGGAGGAAGUCAGUGGGUAGUGGUAGUGGUGGGGGAGGAAGUCAGGCGGUGGUGGAGUCGGUGGUGGAGUCGGUGGUGGAGGAAGUGCAGUCAGGUACAGAGGGAGAGCACCAGCGGACCGAGCCGGAGGACGAGGGGAACGAAUGCACUAAACCGGACAGAGAAAAAGCAGAGAUUGAGGAGAAGCUGCUGGAGAAAGACAGCAUGCUGAAAAAACUGCAAGAGGAAAAGGAAGAGAUGGCCAAAAAGAUAAGAGAGCUUGAGAAGAACAGAGAGAAACUCGAGGAGAUCAUAUGGAAGAAAGAUCAUAGAGCUGCAGCAGAUUUUCAGAAGGAACGGGAGGGGAAAGAUAGCGCUCAUCUGACGCUCUUGGAGGAUUUAAUGAGGAGGGUUAUGAAUCUGGAAAAAGCCAAAGCCCAGAGAAGUGAGGAGAGAGAGAGAGAGAGAACAGACAAUACCGACAAGUCUGUGGUGAAGGAGGGGCAUACGGAAGCCGGGUUUACUAGAAUCAGAGAGCAGCAGGAUAGAGAGGAGGCCGAGCUGGAGAAGGUGAGGAAGAAACGUGUUGAAAUAGAGAGAGAAAAACAAGAGAUGGUGGCCUACUGGAGAGAGCAGCACAGGACGUGGUCUUGGCAUCCGCAAGAGAAAAACGCCACAAUGAAAAGAACGCAAAAGAGAAAGAAAAAGAUAGUCAAGAAGAUACAACUGCUUGAGGAGAUAAGCGAGAGACAACAUCUCAAGCAGAUGGACUUGAUGAAUCUGCUAGAAGAAACGGAGAAAGAGUUUAAGAAGGAGCUGGAGGAGAAAGAAAGAGCUCAACUUGCUGUCACUGAGCAGUUACUGGCCAAGAUAGAGUAUCUGAAUCAAAGCCAGGCUCAGAUAGAAGAGGAGAGAGAGCAGCUCCAGACAGAGCUGCAGCUGAGAGAGAUAGAGGCUAGAGAAGCUGGGAUGGAAAGUCUGCCUGAUGUUAAGAUGGGUGCAGAAAUGCAGACUGAAGAAGUGCAGGAGGACCAAGACAGCCCGAAGAUGCAAGAGGCGGACGACAGGAACGUUGAGCUUCUGCAAUACAUCAGUCAGCUACAGGCUUACAACGCGCACUUUGCAGAACGAGUACAGAUAGCAGAGGUGAGGAGAGAUAUCUUGGAGAAAGAUCAAGAGAGCUGGAAGAGAGAGAGAGAGAACUGGAAGAAAGAGAGAGCAUGCUGGGAGGAAGCAUCAGAAAGAUGGAAGGAAGAGAGAAGCACCUUAAUGAAAGAGAAUGAUGGCUUAAAGAAAGAGAGGGUGACCUGGGAGACAGAGAGAGAGAUGUGGGAGAGAGAGAAAAUAAUCUGGGAGAAAUUGACAGGGAACACAGAGAAAGAGCGUGGGAGCAAAAAGAGGAAAAAGUGAGAAAAAAAGCAUACUUGGUUUUAGAAAGAGAGCAGUGGCAGCAGGAGAAAGAAAUAUCCAUCCAUUCAUCCAUCCAUCUUCUACCGCUUACUCCUUUUCAGGGUCACGGGGAACCUGGAGCCUAUCCCAGGGAGCAUCGGGCACAAGGCGGGGUACACCCUGGACAGGGUGCCAGAGAAAGAAAUAUCAUGUAGUAUAAAUAAAAGAUCAUUUUCUCCUUGUUUAAUUAUAAAGUUUUAAUAAAGUUCUUC
ensembl:lncRNA